UCGGUCACUCUCCGUUACAAAAGGCAACUGCAGCAAUUCGUAUGAUGGCAUAUGGUUGUCCAGCUGAUGCGGUCGACGAAUACCUCCGACUUGGUGAGACCACGGCGCUUUUAUGCUUGGAACAUUUUGUUCAAGGAAUCAUAAAUUUAUUUGGAGAUGGGUAUCUAAGAAGACCCACACCAGAAGAUCUUCAACGACUGCUCGAUAUUGGAGAGAUACGCGGAUUUCCGGGGAUGAUAGGAAGUAUUGAUUGUAUGCAUUGGGAGUGGAAGAAUUGUCCAACCGCAUGGAAAGGUCAAUAUACACGUGGAUCAGGAAAGCCAACAAUCGUUUUAGAGGCUGUUGCGUCACAAGACCUCUGGAUAUGGCACGCGUUUUUCGGACCUCCAGGUACAUUAAACGAUAUCAAUGUUCUUGAUCGAUCACCGGUUUUUGAUGAUAUAUUACAAGGUCGAGCUCCAAAAGUUAAUUACAUUGUAAACGGACACGAAGAUGCGGUCGACGAAUACCUCCGACUUGGUGAGACCACGGCGCUUUUAUGCUUGGAACAUUUUGUUCAAGGAAUCAUAAAUUUAUUUGGAGAUGGGUAUCUAAGAAGACCCACACCAGAAGAUCUUCAACGACUGCUCGAUAUUGGAGAGAUACGCGGAUUUCCGGGGAUGAUAGGAAGUAUUGAUUGUAUGCAUUGGGAGUGGAAGAAUUGUCCAACCGCAUGGAAAGGUCAAUAUACACGUGGAUCAGGAAAGCCAACAAUCGUUUUAGAGGCUGUUGCGUCACAAGACCUCUGGAUAUGGCACGCGUUUUUCGGACCUCCAGGUACAUUAAACGAUAUCAAUGUUCUUGAUCGAUCACCGGUUUUUGAUGAUAUAUUACAAGGUCGAGCUCCAAAAGUUAAUUACAUUGUAAACGGACACGAAUACCAUUUGGCUUACUAUCUCACAGAUGGUAUAUAUCCAAAAUGGGCUACUUUUGUCCAAUCUAUUCCACUUCCGCAAGGUCCGAAAGCAACCUUAUUCGCUACACAUCAAGAAGCUGUACGUAAAGAUGUCGAACGUGCUUUUGGAGUCUUGCAAGCUCGAUUUGCCAUUGUCAAAAAUCCCGCUCUUUUGUGGGAUAAAAUAAAAAUUGGCAAGAUAAUGCGAGCAUGUAUCAUUCUACAUAAUAUGAUCGUCGAAGACGAACGAGAUGGGUACACUCAUUUUGAUGUAUCAGUUUUCGAACAGCCGGAAUCAAACCGAUCUUCAGAAGUGGAUUUCACAUUUUCUACAGAUAUGCCUUCAAAUCUCGGCAAUAUGAUGGCCAUUCGGAAUCAAAUUCGUGAUAGAAAAAUAAAUCAACAAUUGAAAGCUGAUUUGGUUGAGAAUAUAUGGCAAAAAUUUGGAGCAAAUGGAG
rnacentral:lncRNA from 1 species